CUCUAGGGGAAUAAAAAUUCUGGGGGCAGGAAGGUCCUUCACGUCCCCUUUUCUUUAGGAGAGCCAGGACGGCUGGGCCCCGUGUCAAAAUCCAACCCAGAGUGAGCAAGAAUCUGGUUACAUAGGCACUCCAGGCCCAACCGGUGUGACCCUGGAGGAGGACGAGAUUGCCCAUGUCUGGGUCUCAGUUUGUGCAUUUGCAACCUGAGAGGAUCCAGAUUUACCAUUCUAUAACUCCAGGAUUAAAACUUGGACAGAGAAGUCUGAGAUUCCAGAUACACACAACCAGCCCCAAGUUUCUUUCCUAUCCUGACCAAGGCAAAACACGAGGGCUGACCCAGCACACACCUCUCUGCCAUCUGCACUGGCUUUCUACUCUCAAAGCUGAUGUUCCCAUCAUGGUGUGCAAACAGCUCCAGAACCAUCACUGGCCUGGGAUAUCCUGG